UACGAGGGGGGCGAGCGUUGUUCGGAAUUAUUGGGCGUAAAGGGUGCGUAGGCGGUUCCGCAAGUCCUGUGUGAAAUCUUCGGGCUCAACUCGAAGUCUGCACGGGAAACUGCGGGGCUUGAGUAUGAUAGGGGUAGAGGGAAUUUCCAGUGGAGCGGUGAAAUGCGUAGAUAUUGGAAAGACCACCAAUGGCGAAGGCACUCUACUGGGCCAUUACUGACACUGAGAGACGAAAGCUAGGGGAGCAAAUGGG
rnacentral:rRNA from 1 species